CAAAGCGCUUCUCCCUCCCCUCUUGGCGGAAGAUAAUUCAAACCCAUCUGAUAUUCACAGACAGUUGGACAGCAGCUGAGGUUUCAUCAGGAAUCCCACGUAUGGCCAGAAGCAACAUACACCUCGAUGUUUCCGGGAGCCACAGGCAGCCAGAACAGAUGGUAGAAAUCAUCAUCCCCAGACAGUCAUCAGGGGAACCUCAGGCCACAUGCUUGAAUUUUUCUCAAUGGAGCGCAUAGAAGGCAGGCAUUCGAUCCAUGUGACGGCAGCUGCCGGUCCUGCGGGAGCGGGAGGCAGCAGAACGGAGGAAGGCUCUCGCAGGUUAUUAACAGGUCACGCUGUGACAUUAGCAGUCCGGAAAUAUCGCCUCUCCCAGGGGGCUAAGACAAAAGCAAGGGAGAGGUUCCUCGUAAUUCAAACACAGUUCAGUGCUUACAGAUUACAGCACAUAAUCUGCUUGGCAACAGCACACAGAGACACUCUACUGUCUGACUUCCCUCUUCUAGCUGCUUUCUCUAGAAAUGUCAGAAGGAAUCCUUGAUGCAGCAAAUGUCCUAUGCAAAUCUCGAGGGAGGAAGAGCGCAACUUCCCUGCAAUUUUCAGAAUGAAACCUGGAGGCAAAGCUGAUGGUGACAGCUCAACUCCUUCAUUCAGAUGUCGCUAACCUUUUUGUUCCAUUUGUGACAUGCUAUAUGCAGCAUUCCUCAUUGAUCAUCACUGCCUGUCUGAAUCACCCAGUCCCUUCUGUGAGCAGUGAGACUUUCUGCAACUGUCAGCCUCAUUAGAGGGAAAAUUUCCUUGGUGACAUUUUGGAGGAAACAAGGCAUUUGGAGGAACAGUCUUAAAAUAUUGCAUUUGACAAAGUGGAUGGUUUUAAAAAUCAUUGCCCCAGCCCUACAACUGCCUCUUCAGUCUCACCACAGCUCUCCUGUGUACAGCCAGCCGUGCAAGCCAGUCUGCAGAUGGAAACUCUCCAAACCCCAGGCCUGCUUUAAACCUUCUUUGAUGACAGGAUUUUCUAAUUUUAGGAAGUUCCACUGUUUCCUGCCUUGUAGAAUAGACAGUCUCCACUCACACUUCUGGUAUUUUUUUUUCUACUGUGCUGGAUACUGCAUUCCCCACUCUCUUGCUUGCUUAUUCAUUCCUGGUAAGCCUCUCUGUGGAUAGAUCUCAGCUGGUAACGCUCAGCUUCUCCAGCAAAUUCAGUGUUCACUGGACUGUUGGUUAGAAUAAAAAAUCCUUAGUCCUGUCCUAAGGA